UGUGUGUGUGUGUGUGUGUGUGUGUGUGUGUGUUUUGUCCACAGUUUCUCGUUCAUAACUCUCAUAGCCCUCGUUACAGCCUUUUGUUAUAAUGUUGGGGCGCAUUAGGUCUCAGGAGCAGGCCUUAGAAAAACAUAAUCUCUCUUUCUCCUUUUCUCCUUUUACCUGCUCAAGGCAGGACUCUAAUUUGAUUGUUGGUUCAAAGACUCUCAUUCCAGAGGGGAUCCUGCCCCAGACCCUAGAGGAAAGAAGGCUACAUAGAGAGGUCAAGAAAAGUCUGAACACACAAGCCUUGCUGGGUUUAGAUCACGUGCUUUUUGUUCAAUCACAUUUCCACAUGUUUGUCAAUCAUUCCUAUGUAAUGAAGCCUCCACAAAAAUCCAAGAGGACCAGGUUGAAAGCUUCUGAGGAAUUGAACAGGGGAGGUUUCUAGAGGGUGGAGUGCCUAGAGAGGGUAUGGAAGCUCCGUGUCCUUUCCUCUAUAACUCACCUGAGUUGUCUCUUUAUCUCUAUCCUCUGUAUCUCUAUCCUUUUAAAUAAACCAGUAAACCUAAGUAAAUGUUUCUCUGAGUUCUUUGAGUCUCUGCAGCAAAUUAAUUGAGCCCAAAGAGAAGUUGGGGGCACCCCACCUUGAACCUGGUUGGUCAGAAGUUCCAGAGGCCUGGACUUUCAACUGAUGUCUAAAGAGAGGGCAGCUUUGGGGACUGAUAUGAGACCAUCUCCAUGUAGGUAAGAUUUGAAUUGAAUUGGAGAACAUCCAGCUGGUGUUGCUCUUUGGUGUAUGGGAAAUCUUCCACACCUUUGGUCAAAAAUGUCUUCUUUGUUGAUGAUUGCUGUGAUUGUGUGAGAGCAGAGGAAACACAGUUUGAGAGUGUUUCCUUAAAUCACAUUCCCACAUGUAGUUUUCUAUGCUUCUCUGUAUAAUUGAAUCUAAAACUUCUUGAAUUCCAUGAAAACUCUAUCAGCCUCAAGUAUUUUGAGAACUGUAGGCUUAAUGGAAGGUGUUAGAGGGAUAGUGAAGUCUACGUUCCAUACUUGCACACAAAACAACUUCAAUUUUAGAUAUUAGGAUUUCUCUUCCCUACGAUCCUUUGGAGCCAUGCUCCUGCCAGGUGGCUCUCUCAGCAUGCCUCUUGGUGCCCAGCCUUGCAACUGCCUUCUCCAUUUCCCCUUCUCACUCAUCUCCCCUGCCCUUGGGAGAAAACUAUGCUCCUUCCCUUUUUUAUUUACCCUCCUCAGACAUUCUGUUCUGAAAUUCUUAGGCUUACAGCACUUACUUAAGUAAUUAUAAGUGAUUUCUCCAGCAAUUUAAGUUCUCUCCCUAAGAUGACAUCUGAUGCCAGGUGUUAAAAGGACAUGUUGUGUUGCUAUUAGUUACUAUUAAUUUUAUUAUGCAUUAGUUAUUCAGUUAACUACUUAACUUUCUAAUACCUUUCAUUCUUUAGAUUAUUUUGAAGCCCCUGAAGGUCAUUUGUCAUCUUUUCACUUUCCUAGUUUUGUAUCAGGUUGUUCUGCAGCAGGGUUACUGGGGACGUUGUAUAUUUUAUUAAUAAGUAAACCAACCUUUGCUGCGUCUUAAGUGAAUGGCUCCCCUUGUAUUCAAAAGCUACGGAUUCAACUCUUAAGAUAAAUAGAGGAUAAACUUGGCACAUACCUUUACAAAUGAUGCAAGUCCAGUUUAGAGCUGCAGACUUAACGGGGGCACUAGCCACUGAAAAAUUCCCAAGUGAUGAUUUCUCUUAGAAUCCCAUUUACUUCAAUUUUAGAUAUCAGUUAACCCUCCAGUCCUGUGUUCCUUUCUACCUGUUGAGCCCACUGUGCCUCAAGCCUAACACCAAGUUUCUCAUAGAGUGAGCACCCAGCAAAUACUCAUUAAGUGUAGAAUGGAAGAAAGUAUAUGUUGUCGCAAAUAGACUGAAUUAAUAAGCUCUUGAGGAACAGUAACAUAGACAUUCUUCUAUUUCUUCUCUCCUAUAUUAACUCCUAUGUGGUAUAAGUAACUGAUCAGCUGGUCUCUUGGAAAGCAAGGCUGUAAUGUGAGUUGAACAUUUGUAACAUAUUUGUUGUUAUGACAGGGAGGAACCAGUAGUGGGUUCAAUCACUCGAGGAAAACACUACACCCCUUAAUAUUGUUUGCAUCAUGAUAGUAUCUGGAGAGCAGCUGGCACUUACCCUUUGCAUUCCAACCACACAUUCUUGGGAAAAAAAUCUUCCUUUCCUCCCACUCGUAAAGGCCUUUUAGUAAGUCUCACCCAGCACCAAGAGUGGGUGGCACGCGUAUGCCAGCUAUGUCUACUGUCACUUCUUAUCCGCUCAGUGUUGUCAUGUUUGAUGGGAAGCCCUGGCUAUGAUGGACAUAGCUUCGAGGCUUGUGUUGACUGAAGUGACAAAUAGUCUAAUGUAAUUAGUGUUUGACUGAGCACUGGGGAUUCCUCAUUGAAGAAGAUUUUUUUUUCUUUUAAUGCAAACCUUAAGUUGAUCUUGGGGAAAGACACUGGAUCACAUUCAGGCUAGGUAGGUAAGUUGCUGCCAUGUGGGGUAAGAAGUCUGGUGUGAUAAUUCUAGAAACCCCACUUUUUGUUUUUUUUGAGAUGGAGUCUCACUCUGUUACCCGGGCUGGAGUAUACUGGUGUGCUCUUGGCUGACUGCAGUGUCUGCCUCCCAGGUUUGAGCAACUCUUCUGUCUCAGCCUCCAAGUAGCUGGGAUUACAGCUACGCACUAACAUGCCCAGUUAUUUAGUUAUUUAUUUUUGCAUUUUUAGUAAAAAUGGGGUUUCACCGUGUUGGCCAGUCUGGUCUCAAAUUCCUGACCUCAACAACUCUACCCUCCUCGGCCUCCUGAAGUGCUGGGAUUACAGGCGUGAGCCACGGUGUCUGACCUAGAAACCCCACUCUUAAAGGGUUUACAAUACAUAGUCACCUGGGCACUUCUGUAUACAUGGGUGUGGCUGGCCAGGGCUCCCAUUAUUUCAGAGUGGAUAUUAGUUGGUCUGCAAGGGACAGUUUCCCUCCUUUCCCCACUUUAUUCAUUUACUUAUUUAUUCAUCCAGUAACAUUUCUGCACUACUCCACACUCUCUGCACCAAGCACAAUGCUAAGCACUGGAGGUACAACACUGGGAGGUACAGUCAUGAUUCCUGUCCUUUUGUUGUGUUUCAUAAUCCUGUUCUGUCUUCCAGAGAUGAUAAGCGCAAUGAAGGAACCAAUGCUGAGAAUGUUAUGGUGUACAUAUAACAACCAUUUAACACAUGUGAAGCAUAUGCAGCACAGCCUACAGUAGACUUCCAGGGAUUACUGAGUUUUAAAAGACAAGGAAUCAAGCAGGAGAAUUACAGGAGGGUUGCAUUUGCCAAUUCUUCAACCACCUAUUGAUAUACCAAAGGACCACAUGCUUGUAAAUUAGUCCAGCAAGUAUCUUCAUCUGGAUAUUUUUGAAGGAAACAUAUUUUAAGAAAACACAUGCCUUCUGGUGCUCCAUGCUUGAUAUAAUUAGGUAAUAAGCAUUCAGCCCUGCCAAGCUUAAUGUAAAAACCUUAAUAAUAGUGAUUCUUCAUGGAUAACAUACCCCCAAUCCUAUACGUUAUCACCAUUUGUGAGCCCCAUUGCUAUUAUCUACUGGGCACCUUUUUCUCUUCUUCUUAACUGUAUGUUUGGGGAGAGAGUUGUUCCACAACAUUACAGGCUUGAAAGGCGCAGUCAGAACACUAAUAAAGCCAUCAACCCUCAGAUGCCACCUUUUUGAAGUCUGAGCAAGGUGAGCAGUGCAGCUAACACCUUGUGCCUCCUCCUACAUGUUUGCAAUUAACAUUUUAUCUGCCCUACGUCUUAAGUCACAGCUUUGUCACCAUUCCCUGGAGGCUGAAGAAGGACCUUAAUUACAGAAGCAGUGCACUCAGCCACUGCCUGCUGUAUUCUGAUGUCACCACCUAUGAGCUUCAAAGAGAGGUCAGGCUGAUCCUAGGAUGUCAUGUGGCUCAAAUCCAGUAUUUUAAUUUAGAGACUCAGUAAGUGGCUCCAUCAAUUAAGACCGGCUGUACUUGCAGCAGACCUGCCAGGCCACAGCCAGAGCUUUGAUUCAUUUCAUUUCUUACUGACCCCAUCACAGAGUGGAAGGAUGGCCAACAUUUCAAUGGGUGGUGGAGAGCUGCCAGAUUUAAAAGGAAGACUAAUGAUCGAGGAGGAUUCUAAAGGGGGUCCAGCGUCUUUCCAUCUUUUGACCCUGUCAGGUCUACACCAUUUACUCCAAGUGAAAAAGAGAUAAUGGAGGAAAACGCGACCUGCAGGAGGGUGACGUUGGGGUUGACUCACUCUUCCUUUCAAUCUCAGGUCAGGAUUAAUCUUGGAACCCAGGAUAAGGUUGUGCCUGCAGAAGCAUACAUGUGGGUGAGGGAGCUGAAGUCAGAGGGAGGUGGAAGGAGCGAGGCUGCUCCAAGCAUAAUAACAGGAGUAGAUUGUAGGAGUCAGGAGGGUCAAAACCUAUCUCUUUUCUUUCCUAACUCCACAAGACCCUGCUCUCUGCCAGUAGGACAAUGAGGCUAUAAUGAGCUCAUUCCCUGUUCCCCAAAUUUAAACCUUCUAUUUCAGCAGAUCAUCCAGUUGACAGUGCUCAACUUCAUGGAGGCAGGGAAUGUAAGUCCUGUGGGGAAAGUUAUUUUUGGCUUGGCAAAGCAAGCAUCCUGAAGGCUUUUGUGUAGCUCUCAGCUCUACAAAUAGUCCUUUGCAAUCAAUACCACACAAUCAGAUUCUUGUAAAGAGGUGCAGAGGCUAAUAACUCACCCCUAAUAUUAUUGGUCUUAGAUGAAACAUAAUUUAGAAUAAAGUAUUGUUUUAGCAGAGACACCAUAGCUGCUUAAAAUGUGUACUGGUAUCAUUUACAUUUGCUGCCUGGUUAUUAUCUUGGUUAUGUACUAAGAAAGUGGCUAGCCGUCACCCCAGCUUUCUUCCAUAGUAAAUCAUGAAUAAUUUUGUUAAGGUUUGUACUUUGAAUUCAAACAUAACUGGGCCAUUAUGGCCGGCUGCUGCCAUAAACAGACAUAUGAUUUGCAUGUCUACAUGAGCAAAUUGGAGCUGCAAGUGAGGGCGGCUUCACAUCAGUACGUUACUCUGCCUCCCUUCCAUUGCACAGAAUUAACAACUGCCAGGGAAAUUGCUUCAUAACUGAAUGUCUAAUCGAAGAGUUAGGACAGGAUAAUAUACAGUUGCCAAAGUGAAGUUUGAUAUGGAACUUAAAUCUUGUCUCUGGCUCCAGACAUCGUGGUUGGAAAUGCAAAUUGUUCCUUAAGACUCACUCGCAAAUGGAGGGAGCAGUUUCUGAGUUAAUGGACACAUGGGAAUUUUCCCCUCCCACUGACAACUGAAGGUUCAGAUUUGUUAUCAAGUUAUUGGGCCCAGGACUCCUCUCAUUUUCCACAACUUUCACCCCCAUCAGGGAAGCUGUGUUUGGAUUCCAUCAAGUUCUUAAACUUACGCUUCUAUUAACUUUGAAUGAUUCUAGUGGAGCGUGUCACUGGUUGUGACAGGAUUAUUUAUGAGUUAAAUGAUUCUGACUCAGUUAGAAAAGCACUCGAGCUUCUAGCCCUGGUGGAAACAAACAGAAUUGACAGCAUGGCUCCUCAGGGAAGCUCCUUGUUUAUCAUAACUUUCUUCACAGAAGCAUUUCCUCAGAGAUCUGACAGAAGACUCCAGGGAACUGGGCCUCAGGUGGCACUGGCUUGGCAGAGACCCCUUCUAUGGGCAUUGGUUAUGGGUGGGAUGAGGAGGAGUGUGUCUGUGUGGGGAGAGGGUUGUAUUUUUUACCAUUUGCUUCUUUUUCAGUAGCCAACUUUGACAUCCCAGUGGGUACAUACUUAAGGUAUCUACAAGGCAGGAGACCCCCUACAAAAUGUUCUUUGGAAAAUUUUGAUAUGUGAAUAAACAUAUCCAGGUAAUCAUUCGAGGAGAACCAGGAACUACCUUGGCUUCUCUGAUACAUCUCUGACUUAUUACUUAAAUUAGCGUUGCUUGGGUUGACAUGUGCACCACCACUUUGCAUUACUUGAGUCUCUGAGCAUCUUAUCAGGACCUAAUCAAUGGCCCAGCUUCAUGUAUGAAUCAGCUGGGUGAGGCCAGGGAAAAAGAAAGGCAGGAGCAACCCAUUUGUGGAGAGCACUGAAUCGGAGCCCAGAGGCUAACACUGCAGUGGUUCUCUGUAUAACACUCAGCCUAUUUUAGGUAAAACCAUAGCACUGUGAAAGGCAAAGUCCCCUGAACCAAGCGCCAGGGAUGCUGGGUCUAAUUUUUGUCUAUGUCAUCGGCUUGAUAUAAGACCUCAGGCUGUUCACUAUUGGCUUGUGUAAAUAUAGCUCCUUUCUCAUCUGCAACUUCAUCCAAUGUUCCUACCUUGUGGUAGGUAUCUAUGGAAAGGCAAACAAUAAAAGCACUUCAAAAAGUGAGAAAUGCUUGCUUUAAUCUUCUUAAGAGUACAAGUUGGGCCCUCUGAAGCCAAAUCCUACACUGCAGAAAAUAUAUUAGAGUAAGGCUUUCAUUCUUAGGCAAUUUAUUGGAAAAAUAUUUUUUAAAUUCCUGGUUAUAUAUAAAUGAUGUAAUAUCAGAAUUGUACUAUGUCAGAGCAAUUUCUUCUGAAAUGAUUUAGGAGAUAAGAACUAGGUAGACUGAAUUACACCUGUUGUGUUUGCUCACUUGAGAAACACACACACACAUGCAGAAACAUACACACCCACAUAUACACACACACACACACACAUAUACACAUUUUUUGAGAAGUUGUCUCAUAGACUAAUUGCAAUUAAUAGGACUCUGAUCUCUUUCCCAUUUAAACCACUGAUUAAUGUUGCAAGACAAAUGCAAACUGGGGCUGUAACAUAGUGACUAAGAGAAAUAAAUGAUUUCAAGUCAACAGCAUGACAAAUGGUCAGGGCAAGCAUCCACCCUCUGGUUAUUACAACCUUUUAUUAUGAUCUAUCAUUAAGCAACCUAGCAUUUCAUAUAAUGUAAAAGUUAUUAAUUUACUGGAAACAAGUGAGGGUGCUUAGGUCUUUCGCCUUCUCUGAAAAUAAAAUGGAAAUUGAUUAGGCAAACUUUUUGAUUAAUACCUGGAUAACUUGUACCUUCCUUCUUCUUGUUAUAUACUGAAAACCAAACACAUAAUUGGACCCAGCAAAAAAACAAAAACAAAUGAACAACAACAAAAAAAAAACUAGAGGAAAGUCCAGUCUAUCUUGUACAGAUCAGGAUACUGUGGCCCUCUUAGAGGAGGUUGCAAACAAGAAAUCUUGACCUGUAUAGCUGAACUAUGUGUCUGGCACAUAAUAGAUGCUCAGUAAAUGUUUGUUUGAUGAUGAAUCUUUGGGAUGAGGAGCUUUCAGAGCAGAAUACAAUCAAGUGGGAAAAUAAUGGACUUGGCCAGGGCUACACGGCUGCGACUGGGAGUAAAGACAUCUGAGUUUAAGGCCCAAGUGAUACCAUAAAUAUCUUAUAUGAAGCAUAUCACUUCCUUUAGCCUAUGUUUCUGCUAUUUUCAUUGUGAAUAAUACUUUCUGCUUUAGCUGAGUUAGUCCAGUGCUUUAGAGUAAAUGAGAAAAGAGACAUCAAUGCACUUUGGAAAAUGUCAACUAGUCUCCUCUAUAGCUACUAAGCUUGUCUCAUAGAUGAAUCAGCAAGAUCAGCCUGUCUCUAAAGUAAGACUUAGGAAACAGCCAGAGACAGCUAAGUGAGCUAUUCCACUGAUGGCCAAAGUUAAUGGCUGCUAUUUAUUUAUUUCUCUUCAAAUCUUCUGGUAUGGGAAUGAACUUAUCUAGAUCAGAGCUGUAGGAUGGAAAUCAGUCUAGGAUAUUUUGAUAAUUAGAGUGUAUUUAUUGUGAGCCUUUUAAGAUAAAAUGUUGGGCUAGAAUAGAAUUUCAAUUUUCUAGGAGUUCAGAAUCUAAGGUUUUCAGAAUAAUACUGCCUGGAGCACAGGACAAUAAUAAUGAACUUAUCAAAGAGAGAAAGGGCUAAGCCUUUGUGUUAAAAAGCUUUCAGUUUAGACCAGGCAAGUUGGCUCAUGCCUGUAAUCCCAUGACUUAGGGCAGCUCAGGGAGGUGGAUCACUCAAGCUCAGGAGUUUGAGACCAGCCCGGGCAACUUGGCAAAACCUCAUCUCUACAAAAAAAUACAAAAAUUAUCUGAGUAUGGUGUGCACAUCUUUGGUCCCAGCUGCUCAGGAGGCUAAGAUGGGAGGAUGACUUGAGCUCAGGAGGCAGAGGUUGGAGUGAGCAGAGAUUAUGCCAAUGCACUCCAGCUUGGUUGACAGAACAAGACCCUUUCUUAAAAAAAAAAAAAAAAUCUUAAUUUUUAACAGUAUGCUUACAGGUUUCUCUGUCUCCUUUACUCAUACUUUAGAAAUAAGAAAUUAGCUUUGUUAUAUGAAAAGUCAAAUUUGACAAAGACAGUUCAUAGUGGGAUGGAUAUUCAUGUUUUUCUAUUAGGCUAAUAUCCAUGAUGAACAAAAAUCUUUAGUGAAAUACUGGCAAACCAAUUGCAACAGCACAUCAAAAAGCUUAUCCAUCACCAUCAAAUAGUCUUCACCCAGGCAUGCAAGUUUGGUUCAACAUGUGUAAGUCUAUGAACAUAAUUCACCACAUAAACAGAAGCAAAGACAAAAAACACAUGAUUAUCGCAUUAUGGUAUUUUCUUUGUUUCAGUUGGUCAUGUUAUGACCAUAACAGAAUGCCCUAGUACAGAGUCCAGUCUCCUCUCCAAAGAUAAUGUCUUUAUUUGAAAAGGAAAAGAAUCUACUUGGCCGUUGUGCAUGUGUAUACUUUUUGCUAGGAAUGGUUGUGGUACAGAUGAGGACUUUCUUAAGAUCAGAUAUAAUUCUCAAAGUCUCAUUCAUUUCCACUGUCAUUUUAUCAGACUGGGACCUCUCACAGACAAUCACUAUAACUAAUUGCAAGAUGUCCAUUUUUUCCAGGAUGAGUUUUGAGUGAUUCAAAUAUCAGGACUUAAAAUUUAACCCUUGUUAUAUUAUAUAUAUUAAUUACCUUUUAUUAAUGAAAGCAAAUGUUUACUUCUCUCUCUCUCCCCGCUCUCCAUGUGUGGAGGAAGUGGACUCUACCUGAUAUUAUCUGGACUUUCCAAGGGUGCAUAUUUCCAAGAAGGAAGUAUGGGUUCCUAAGGCCAAUGUUUCUCAAAUUGAGGUCCAAGCACUUCCUGCCUUAAAUCAAAUAUGAGUCCAGUUAAAAAUACAGAUCCUUGGGGUCUAUUGAAAACUUAAUGAAUUAGAAUCACUAGGUUUGUAACUUCACAAUCCAAAUAUACAACAGACUCCCCAUAUAAUUCUUUUGCAUGCUAAUGUUUAAAAACCAGCACUAUAAGCUUUAAUGGAAUCCCAUGCAUGUAGGGUCCCACGUUACAGAAGAAAUUGGUGGUGGAGAAGCAGAGAGCAUGCCCCUAUAGACUAGAAGAGGAGGCUAGGGGAGGGUUUGUGCUUCUGGAUAGCUACACAGAGGACUUUUGUUCCCUCUAAAAAGAUCUCUUCUGCCAGUCUACUUGUCACUUUCUGGUCAUUCUCCCAUUUAGACAACCCUCAUUUUGAUUGGAUGGCCCAAUGGUGCAGGUGCUUCAGAUAUAGAUGUGAGGUGAGGGAACAGAUACAUGAAUACGAUAAUGCAUCUUCCCUCUGAUUUUAGCAGAGUAUCCCUUUUGCUGAGAUUUACCUUUCCUUCAAUCUCGCCAAGGCUUUACAAUUUGAACAAUCUCUUGUUUGAAGAAGCACAUCAACUGUUACUCUGCAACUUAUGUUAAUGGAUGUGGGUGGGCUGCAUCAUGUGCUAAAAUCCUACAUUAGUUUUGGCACAGUACUCUUGACUCUCUCAUUUAACACAAAUCCAUCAAAACCUCCUCUUUCCAUCACCACUUACCCCAUAGUGAGUUAAGGAAGAGUCCUUCUCCCUCUAAUAAUGUUUUGAAUCAUUUUUAUUCCCAACUCAGAAGGUGUGCCGCUUGAUUACUCUGGUUGCUAUAGCUACAGGUCAAAUAAUUUCCCUCCAGAUCUGUCUUUUGGUGUUAUAUGUUCCCUAUAUGUUUGAUCUGUAAGGGAGCUUUUCAGAUAUUCAUCUAGUAGUUACCCCAAGGGAAUAAAACAUUACGACAUCAAAAUGGGUCAUUCCUAAGCUUAGUUAAAAAACAAAACAAAACAAAAAAAAAAAACAAAAUACUAGCAUUCCUGAUGAUAUAUUUAGGAGAAAAAUACUUUAAAAAAUAAAUUUUCCUGAAUUCUUUUAUUAGUUCUCUAUGCUUUUCAUCUUUCUUUGCCUAAAUAUUUUCAAGAACUUUUUUUUGUAAUCUGUAUGCUCAACUUUUAUGUAAUAAAUCUUAAUAAACCUCUUAAAUAUUUUCCCAAACUUCUCAUCUACAUUGACAGUUACACUGGCUUUAUUUUAAUUUUUCCUUCCCACUAAAGUCUUUCUUUUCUUUUUUUUUAAAUAAGAGAAUGCAGAUUUUCCUUAUAGGACUCUGUGAUGUCCACCAUUAACAAAAUAUUAGUUGUUUUUAAAUUGUCGUGUUAUUAUUCUCUGCUUACUAGGGCAAUCAUGUGGCUUAAUUUAUUCAGAGGAUCACUCAGAAAUUCAGUUAGAAACGGUGAUUGGUCAGUGGUCUUCUUUUAUAUCUGAUUCAAUCUGGUACUAAUAUGUUGUUUCAAAAACAUACCAGUUCCAAAGAGAAUUCUUACCUUGCAGGAUUCCAACUCACUCAACAAACACAACUUUAGGGUGUCGUCUGAAUUGGCAUUACUAUGUCAAUCUUCCCACAGGGCACUGGCUAUUGUGUGAUUUAGCUACUCGCCUGUUUUGGAAGAUUUCCAGCUUUAUUUUUCUUGUUUCUUUUAAGUGACUUUUUUAAACAAAAUCACCCACAGAUUUGAAAAGAAAAGACAAAAUGAAUGGCAAAUGUAUGGGAAAUUUUGGCUUGACCUAGUAUGGAGGAGAAUUUGUUACUAUCCUGGCCAGUUUGGAGUUUUUUUAAGAAGGUAUUUCAGCAAAAGUACAAUUAAAAUAUUAGUGCAGUCAUUUGAAAACAACCAAAUUUUUUAAAGCUUACUUUGUAUCUUUAUGGAUUUACCUAUUCAUGCACAUGGGUAAAGUUAGGCUGACAGACUUGUCAAACUAUGAAAGGCAUGAGGUAUAAGGCUUUUAAUGCUUGAUGAAGCAGAAACUGCAUGAACAAAUCCACUCCUGGGAUUUGUAAAUGAAUGCAUUAAAUGCCUUGAAUAUUUAAUUCACUUGUUCCCAAUAAUAUUUGUUGACAUGGAAGAUAAUAAAGUGUAAUGACUCCUAACCUCUUAAUGAGAAUAAUUCUUAAGAGCUGUCAAUAAUAUGGAAAGUUUUAGAAAAAGGUUGGUUUUUCAGCAGCUAAUAAUAGUGAUGUCCUCCUCUUUAGAAGAAAAAAUAACCUAGCAUUUGUGUAUUCCUUUGAAGCUCUAGUUUUAGACUUUAGUGAACUAUCUUUUGCUCAUUGUCUCUACUCCAGAUUGCUUAGUGUCAGAAUAUUAACUGUGAAGACAAACACACAGAUGCGAUAAAGGAAUUAUAUCUGAGAAAGUAUGUAAAAAAUUCAAGACACUUAAACACACCAAAUGAUUAUCUCCAAAUUAAUGAAUCUAACAACACAAGAAGUUGUCUCUCCAAUCUGAUUUUCUGACAACUCCUUUAAGGAAUUCAACAAUGGUCAGAGACCAUAGCACUUGUCUAUAUAGAAAAACAAAACUGUGGUUGUAGAAGCCAAUAACUGGAUUUUCCUCAUCAGUAUAACUUCACAACAAAGAGAAUUUAUUUAUUAUUAUUUAGUUAAAACUGGGAGAGAGCUAGAAUCUUGGUCACAUUUAUUUGUUCAAUAAUAUUGAACAAAUAUUAUGAAGCCCCAGUGUAGUUGACGUUUUGAUGCUCUUGGUGUCAGAGCUUUUGGAGAAACUUGAUCUUGGUGGAGAAUAAAAUAUAAGAAUGAAGAAAUCAUUUGACUUGGGUUUCUCUGAGUUCCUGGCAUGUCCUAAAACUCUCUGAAUUGCCAGAAAAAGAGUAAAUGACUUUGAGUGUAUUUAAUUUUUGUUCUAUUUAUUUAAAAAUCGGAAAUCUGAACAGGUGAUAAAUCUCUAAUUAAUCAAAUCAUUGCUUAGCCUGGAGAACUGCUAUUGGACCUUGAUGGAUGACAGAGAAUCUGUCUUUGUGUUAUUGUUGUUUUGCCAAGGAUCUGCUUGCAGCAGGUACUUCUCUGUACUUUCCUGUUUAGUAACAUUUACAGUGUUUAUUCAGUUGUUUUUCUUGAAGGGCUUCUCUUUUUUCCUUUUUUUUCGAUGUGAGGAAUUGUUGAUCUUUUUUGUACACAGCAUUAAAUGAGGUCCCCAUGCGGCUAAAUGAUCGGAGAUUGAAAGGCUGGUCAUUCAGCUGAUUGGGAAAGAGCUGUGCAGCCAGGCUAGAUUCUAAAUUUUCCUUCAGAAAUUUGUCCUCUGAAGGAAUUGGAAUUAGUCCCAUGUAAUUUGCAAUGUCCUUAAAUCUGUGCUUUCGAUUCUGCAUUAUGUCAAGGUACACCAUCUCUUAAUAGUCCCUGAGAUGAGAGAGAUGAUUAUAUCUUAGAGAAACCCUUUAUAAAUUAUUUGGGUAAGUAAAGAGAAAUAGAGAAAACAACAACAUAUUUUGCUUGUAGCCUUUGAAAUCUAUAUCCAGAAAGUAGUCUUUAAAAUCUGUAUUAUUUUAUUGCAGUAUCAUAAAUUUCUCUGAGUUCUAUAUUACUCUGAAAGUACCAAUCUGUUAUAAUGUUAUGUAUUAUCACAAGGAUUCAGAUACACUCAGGUCAAAUUAUGGCUGCUAAAACUACCUCCACAGAAAGAUCUUGGGUAUUAACUUGGAAAUAAAUUUGUUCUUUUUCUUAUUUUCAGAAUUAUCCAAGGGAAACAAAGAGGGUCUCUAUUUUUAAAAUAGAACACUCCUUGUGUCUUAUCAUAUUUAUCUAAAUAGAUGGGUAUAGUGAUUUUAGAGCUUCACACCUUUCCAGAAAACAUGAGAAGUAAAUUCUGCCUGUUCUUGCUAGAACAUUUAUUUUUCAAGUCAUGUUCUAACCAGGCUGCCAUUAUGGACAUUAAAUAUACCAAAAACCCUUGGCUGAUCAGAAGCAUAUUAAUCUUACUUUGUUUAUUAAAGAUGUACGAAAUGCUGAACAUUUGCCAAUUCUUAAAACAUGCAAUCAGGAUUCAAGAAGACAGGGUUCCUUUCCUAGAAGAGCUUAUAGUGGAGAAUAAAAUCAGCCUACAGUGAGAACAAAGUAUUAUAAGUGGGGAUGAUAACACAAGAACUACAAAAAGAGUCAUCAUACCCACUUGGUGAGAGUUGAGAAGAGAAUGUCAAAAAAGGCUCGUUGAAUGAAAUGACAUCUAAGGUGGGUAGCAAAGGGCAAACAAGAUGCUUAACAAAAUAGUAGAGCAUAACAAAAGUUUACCAGGUAAAAGAAAGAGCUAUGGAAAUAACCAUAUAUGGGAGAAUGUAUGGAAAAAUAUAGUUGUUCAGCAAGAUUGGAGAGUGAGUUGCCUUGAGGCAAGCAGAUUGUUUCAUUAACUAAACAAUUUGACUUUAUUCUUGGAACAAUGGGAGGCUCCUGACAGGUGUUACGGUGGUUUGAUAAAACUUGUGUCCUAGAUCACUCUGUUUAGAAUGGAUGGACAGGAGCAGGAUUGGAGGCAACAAGACUAUUAAGAGGCAAGAGAUGAUGGUGGUCUAUAUUGCGACAGGAUUAGAUUGAAUGUGAGGGGGCAGCUAAGUAAGAUACCUAGGUGUGGGCUAGAAUAGAUGGAUCAAGUUGCAGGGCCAGACUCCUUUUGGAAAUAUGAUAGUAAUGAGUUUUGAGUUUGAAGUUUUUAUUUUCAUUUUCAAUAAAUUACACAAUUUUCCUUAAAGAAAAAGAAUUAGUAAAGAGGUUCUUGCCAAAUUAGAUAAUGCUUGCUUGAGAGAGAGAGAGAAGGAGAGAGAGCGCACAUGUGCAUGCAUAUGUGUGUAUCUUAGUUGCAGACAAUAAUCCCAAGACAUACAUGCUUUAGGCAGAAGACAGAGGAGCACAGACCCAAAGCUUAGAUGUUUAGAAAACUGUCUAGAAGGAGCUGCUGGAAGUCGAGGACCAGACUCUGGAGAUGAGAGGAAAAGUACACCGCUUAUGAGGAUGGGACUGAGCCCUCCAGUAGCUUCAUCCAUUCCUCAGCAACUUUGGCUGCACUUCCCAGGCAAAAAGUCUAAGGAAAGGCUGGUAAAUGUCUAUGGUUUUAGCCCAACCACUGAAAGGUCAGAGAUGUAAGUGUUGCCAUCAAUUGAUAAUAUGUAAUCUACCCCACAUUAAGUGCUUCAUGCACACUAAUAAUAGUAAUAGUGUCAUGAAGACUUCUCAGAUGGGAAGGCACCUAAGUAAGAUCUUGGAGAACAAGUGAAAAAGUUGCUAAGAUUGGGAAGAAGGUAUUACAGGCAGAGGAGCAUUUUAAAGAACCACAUUAUUAAUGAUAAAAGGAUUCUCCCUAUAUGCCAAGAAAUUGUUUAAGUACAGGUUUAAAACAUCACGAACAAAAUAGACCUUCAGAAACAAACAAAGCUAUUGGGCAAAAUCAAAGUUACUAAUACAUUUAUAAAAGAUCAUAGACAUAAUCUAACCCAGUGGUUCCCAGGAAUAGUCUAGUGCAGUGAAAAGAGGCAGGCUUCUGGAGGUGGACUGGCUCCACAGGGACUCCAGCUCCCCACUUACUGGAUGCAAACCCUCGGGCAAGUUUCUUAACAUCUCUGGGUUUAGAAUCCUUAGCUAUAAAAGCAAGAUAACAGCAGUACUGAGCUCACUUGGCAACUGCUCUCUACACAUGAGCCACUAUUGUUACGUUUUUAUUAUUCCUAAAUACUCAUCGAGGGAUCAAUUGGUUUGGGAUCACUAGGAGAGGCUUUGUAAAAUUGUUUUUGAUUCUCCAACUACAGGAUUUUUGGUUCAAUAGAUCAGAGGUAAAAUACAGAAACAUGAACUUUUAAAACACAUGGGCGAGUCUGGGAUCUAGGGCACAUUGUAAAUGAAGAAACUUGACCCAGAAGCUAUUAAGUUACUUAUCUGAGGUGACAUAGGAAAUAGAGACAGAGGCAGGUUCAAGAACCAGCUGCACUCACUGUUCUUGAUUUCUCACUUCCUUCCCCAUCCUCAUCUUUCUAAGCUUUGGGGAGAUACUUUCAGUUAAACAAAAUUAUUAUAUAUGGAACAUAGCAACUGUAUUGAAGGAGCCAUAGUAAAAAAGAAAUCAAUUUAUACCCAUCAGAAAAAUAUGAAGCUAGAGGGAAUUUAAUCCCAGGUGGUAGAAACACAGUUAUAUGUAAAACGUGGAAAAAUUGUAUCAGAAGAUGCUCCGUAAGUGUACAAUAAGCCCAGGCUCACUGGAUAAAUGUUUGUCAUAACACUAAGUGAAGUAUGGUAAGAACAUAUUGCUCUCUGAUGAAUACCCAAUAUGAAGGUGUUUUUCAAUUAGAAAUUCCUAACUAGAAAUUGUCAGGCUACCCAUCCUUGUUAUAAUAUUUAUUUCAAAAACCAUUUAUAAAAUAGAGUAUGAGUUGGUUUAGAUUUUUAUUUUAUACAUAAAUUAUGUUUAUAAAUACAUAUACAUGUAUACCUAUCUCCAUCUAUUAAUCUGUCUGUAUGUAUGUCUAUGUCUAUCUCUGUCUAGCUAGCUAGCUAUUACAGCAAAAGUUAAAGCAAAAUAUUAAGAAUUUCCUCCCCGCCUUCUUUCCUGAGGGGUUGUUUUUUGCUUUCCAGGGGGAUUGGAUUUCGAGUAAUGCUUUUAACAAAGUUUCUGUUGAUAUUUUUCUGAAUAAAAUGGUAAGUACAUAUUACAUACUACUUUUGUCAAGUAUAUAUGAAACUAUAUGAACAGCUCUUCCUAAGAAAUAUUUCUGGUUUAGAAUGGGCCUCUAGUUUCUGGCACAUGGUAGAAACUUACAGAAUGGUACUUGGGUGAGUGGGUAAAUGAAUGAGUAAUCCAGUGAGUCAACUGAAAUUAUUGGAGGGAAGGUUAGUACUAAGAACUAGGAUUGAAAGAAGGUAGCUCUGAGAACCUGGGUUGAAGGCAUAUAUGAAACGCCUUCUCCAGGUUCUUCACCUCCAUAGAAUAUAUAUCUGUGCUCAAAGAUCAUAUUCCCAGGAAAGAGCCUCUGAUGCUCACCCCAAGUUGACCACUUUGAAUAAUAGUCCCAUCAAGUUUAUAUCCAAUGGGGCUAAGUAGGUUUCCCAAAACCCUUGCUUCUCAGAAGAAAGGAGACAGUGGCUGGGAAGGCAUCUGAAAUCAAAAUGCUUGGAUUCAAAUACCAGCUAUGCCAUUCAUGAGCUGUAUGACCUUGGGUGCUGAAUCUCUCUGUUCCUCAAUUUUCUCAUUUGCAAAAUAAGGGAAAGAAUGCCUAACUUGAAGUGUGGUUUUGAAGAGUAAAAGCUUUAACAUAAGCAAAGUGCUUAUAGCAGAUACUAGCACAUAGCACAGGCUGAGCAUCCUAAAUCUGAAAUGCUCCAAAAUCGGAAACUUUUUGAGCACCGAUAUGUCACUCAAGAGUCAUGAUCAAAUGAUUUUGGAUUCCCAGAUUAGGGAUGCUUAACUGUAAGUAUAUUGCAAAUAUUUUAAACUCUGGAAAAAUCUGAAACCCAAAGCACUUCUGGUCCCACCUACUUCAGAGAAGGCCCACUCAGCGUAUAGUGACAGCAACACAGACAUAGUGUUCAUUCGUCAGCAAGUACUGAGUUACCAUUAAACCAUCAUAACCUUUUAAAAGUUAAAACAGUGAAUUGUGCAUUUAUUCUUAGGAAAACCCUUAUACUUUUGGAUAGAUUCCCAGCUCUGACCCUAGCAACAUGAGUUGUCCCUAGGAUCCUCUUAGUUUCUUCUAGUACCCCUCUAAGCUCCAGGCACAGGGCGGCUUUCCUCUUCCUCCAACAUGGCAGUUGUUCAGCUUCUAGGUCUUGGUCCAUGCUGUUCCCUCCAGCACCCUCACCCUCACCUCUAGGAACUGGUUCCUUCUCACCCUCAGGAGUCACCUCUUCCAUGAGACCAUCUCUGAUCUAAGCAAGCUCAAUCCCAGCUUCUCUAUUUCAGGAGCACUUAUUAGAAGGAAGAAUUAUCUAAUUGAGUUUAAUUUAUCUCUGCCAUCAAAUACCCAGCUCUUUAAGUGCACUGAAUCCUUUACCCAAGUACUGAGUAGCUGUCAAUAAAAAUGUUGAAUGAAUAUUUCAGCAGGCAUUAGGUGGCAGAUUCCAAGGCCUGUCCCUAGGCUCCCAUGUUACUCUCAAGUAGCUGCCCAGCCCUCUCUCAUCCCAUCUCCCUGUGCAGGCCCUGACCUUACCUUCUCCAGCUAGUGUCCCACAUGGCAGCACAAGCCUGGCGCCCUGGCUGUGGUUCUCAAUUCCUUGCAGUCUCCUGGUUCUUUGGGGUCCUGUUACUCUCCUAGUCCAAACCCUCUAAAGGCAUCCUGGACCACUUACUAUAAUAUUACAAGCACCCACGUAAUCAUAUAUCUUUCUGUUUCUUUCUUGUUCACUGUGCUCCAGCCAAAACGAUCUUUUGUUUCUCAAACCUGCCAAACCUGCCACUUCUCAGGGCCUUUGAACUCCUUGCUCCAUUUGGCCUGGAAGGCAUGUCCCUCACAUCAUGCCCCACAGGCUCUUCCUCUUACGUUAUCUUUCAGCUCAAUGAAACCUUGCUGACCCAGAUGGUGCCCAGAGAUAUUUAUGUCAAUCUAUGCUGUUAACCUUUUUAUCCCUUUAUAAUUCUUACCACCACAGUUGACCAUGGAACAAUGUGGGGGUUAGGGGUACUAACCUCUUGAACAAUAAAAAAUCUGAGUAUAACUUUUGAUUCUCUAAACUUGACUACUAAUAACCUACUGUUGACUGGAAGCUUUACUAAUAACAUAAAUAGUAGAUUAAUACAUAUUUUAUAUGCUAUAUGUAUUAUAUACUGUAUUUUUACAAUAAUCUAUAGAAGAGAAUGUU